GCGCGAACACUUUACAAUGCUGGCAACAGCGAUAAGGGAACCUCGAGUGCCAGGUUACAAAUCUGGCUGUCGAGAUGCCUAAAAAGCAUUUCAUAGCAAGGGCCGGGCAAGACCGGUGCCAGCCGCCGCGGUAACACCGGCGGCUCGAGUGGUAACCGUUCUUAUUGGGUCUAAAGGGUCUGUAGCCGGCCGGAUAAGUCUCUUGAGGAAUCUGGCAGCUUAACUGUCAGGCUUUCAGGGGAUACUGUCUGGCUCGAGGCCGGGAGAGGUGAGAGGUACUUCAGGGGUAGGGGUGAAAUCUUGUAAUCCUUGAAGGACCACCAGUGGCGAAGGCGUCUCACCAGAACGGACCUGACGGCAAGGGACGAAAGCUAGGGGCACGAACC
rnacentral:rRNA from 1 species